GUUGCAACACCGGCUCCCGUGCGAUCACUAAAGUUAAGCAACAUUGAGCCUGGUCGAUACAAAGAUGGGUGACAGUUUGAGAAUAUCCAGUGCUGUAAG